UAGAGUUUGAUCCUGGCUCAGAUUGAACGCUGGCGGCAUGCCUUACACAUGCAAGUCGAACGGCAGCGCGGGAGCAAUCCUGGCGGCGAGUGGCGAACGGGUGAGUAAUACAUCGGAACGUGUCCAGUAGUGGGGGAUAGCCCGGCGAAAGCCGGAUUGAUACCGCAUACGAUCUUAGGAUGAAAGCGGGGGAUCGCAAGACCUCGCGCUAUUGGGGCGGCCGAUGGCAGAUUAGCUAGUUGGUGGGGUAAAGGCCUACCAAGGCGACGAUCUGUAGCUGGUCUGAGAGGACGACCAGCCACACUGGGACUGAGACACGGCCCAGACUCCUACGGGAGGCAGCAGUGGGGAAUUUUGGACAAUGGGCGCAAGCCUGAUCCAGCAAUGCCGCGUGUGUGAAGAAGGCCUUCGGGUUGUAAAGCACUUUUGUCCGGAAAGAAAACCUUUGGGCUAAUACCUCGAGGGGAUGACGGUACCGGAAGAAUAAGCACCGGCUAACUACGUGCCAGCAGCCGCGGUAAUAC
rnacentral:rRNA from 1 species